rnacentral:tRNA from 1 species
GACUGCUUGCCUGGGGUAUUUUCGCUUUGAAAGCGAAGUUGAGAUGUUCGAUUCAUUUAGUGGUUU